UACGUAGGGGGCGAGCGUUGUCCGGAAUCACUGGGCGUAAAGGGCGCGUAGGUGGUUUGAUAAGGGUGUGGUGAAAGUCCGGGGCUCAACCCCGGAUCUGCCGUGCCGACUGUCAAACUCGAGGGCUGUAGAGGCAGACGGAAUUCCGGGUGUAGCGGUGGAAUGCGUAGAGAUCCGGAGGAAGACCGGUGGCGAAGGCGGUCUGCUGGGCAGUUCUGACACUGAUGCGCGACAGCGUGGGGAGCAACAGG
rnacentral:rRNA from 1 species